rnacentral:rRNA from 1 species
UACAGAGGUCUCAAGCGUUGUUCGGAUUCAUUGGGCGUAAAGGGCGCGUAGGCGGGCUGGUAAGUCAGGGGUGAAAGCCCACGGCCCAACCGUGGAAGUGCCUUUGAUACUGCCAGUCUCGAGGGAGGUAGGGGCGUGCGGAACUUCCGGUGGAGCGGUGAAAUGCGUAGAUAUCGGAAGGAACACCGGUGGCGAAAGCGGCGCGCUGGACCUCUUCUGACGCUGAGGCGCGAAAGCCAGGGGAGCAAACGGG